GGGAGUUCAGGAGAGGUGAGAAGCUGGUCGCACCACGCCGGCUCAUCCAGGUUUAUUUCAACAAACGGGUCACUGGAGCACACCGCUAACGAAAGAAGAAGAGAAAAUAUGUCGGUAUUCAUCAACUGGUCAGACAUGAUGUCAGCUGGGGGGCUGUUGAUACCGAUGGACAAAGUCUCGAAACCGUUUGUAUCUGUCUGGUCCUGCGGAGCUGUAGUGAGUGACAGGGGAGACCGAACAGAAGAGAGGGGAAGUAACGUUCCGAAAACUGAAAGAGAUCACAUGCAUUUUGUGAAGAGCUGACCACAGAGACAAGGAAGUAUGGUGUGAUGUCUAAUUUUCGCUGCAUGGUCCAUCAUAGAUGCAUGAGUGAAGCAGAAGAAAAGAAAAGAUAGACUAGAUGGCAAAAAGACUUUGGAGCCCUCAGUCCUCUGCUGGUGCAUUCCAUUAGUUUUCACAGAUGGUUUAAGCUGAUCAUA